AUUGUUUCUCAGCCUUUUGGCUAAGAUCAAGUAUAGUAUCUGUUCUUAUCAGUUUAGUAUCUGAUACGUCCUUGAUGACUUUAUGACUUUAUAUUAAACAGAUUUUUGGGUUCGGAAGUUGGACUCAGAACUUGCUCCCUCUGUUCCAUGCAUCAUCCCCUAUUGCAGUGCCUCCAGAAACUGCGAACUUUC
rnacentral:snRNA from 1 species